ACAGAUCCUCGAGAACGGUAAUGUAGACCUCGAUGCCAUCCAGGAAGUUUUGACCUCAGAAGGAAGCGGAGACUUGGUGACCCAGUUUACGAAUCUGGAUCUAUCGGUGAUGGGUGAGAAUCCACGCCAAAUAGAGACUCAAGAUCUCCUCCAGAUGUCUCCAACGAUCAAGAGACUGGUCCGGAGAAACAAGGUAUUUGCUCUCCAGCAACUGGGGGGCCAAAACAGAUUCGCUAAAAUAUCGUAUACUGAAGAUGGGAAACUGUGUCAGCAUACCUUGACCGAUGAGAUACCACCUCCAGGGAGUUACGUAACGAAGUUCAGUGGUUUGAGCUCCAUGGAUCCCACUUCCACCCUGGCGUUUAUCGAAGUGACGAGUCAGAAGUCCUUCAUGCGCUACGACGGCUGGGCACCCCGAUGGGGCC